UGUGAAAAGUUCGAUUUUCUUUCGUAUUCAACGAUAUCGGACGAAUUACCGACGACGAGCUAACGUCAUCCUAUAGUGCGAUCCUCGACGUUGCCGCGGAAGCCUCGAAAGAUCGCGAACAACGCUAACAUGUUGGUAUAACCAAGUUUCAGUUUGACGAUGCUUGUUAUUGGUGUGAAAAAUUUUAAACAUCGAUCGUACGGUGUACAAAUAUUUCCAGACAGAUAAAUUCGUCUUCUUAUGUUUUACAAAGCAUAUAAAAAAAAAAAAUGGGUAAUUAACUUUCCAGUAUUUGGGCAUCGAAUCGUUUUUGCGUGUAUUCAAGCUCGUAUUCUUGCGGACACUAUUAAAAAGUUGCAUAAAAGUCGGCGGUCUAGUCGUCGACGCGUACGGAUGUCAGUCGCUACACACGGGUGUCCUUCGAGAACACGAUGCAGCCGCGACUGACCCGCAAGCUGGACCCAAUUGCAUGCAUCGCCUUCUCUCUCGUCGUCUCUUUCACCGGAGCAAAACCGUUCGGAGAAGAAUGCGGAUGAGAAAGUGUGCAAGUACGUGCGUCGGUCACGCGUUAGCCGGAUCGAUGUCCACUGUGUACGCGUGCAAACCGCGAGAAAAAGAAGGCGAAAUGGCAGAGGAGAAAGAAACACGAAGGAGGCGAAUGGAGAAAAAGAAAAAACGGAAGAUGAACGUACACACAUGGACGAGAUAGGGCGGAAAACCGCAUCAUGCGGUUAAGAGUGUCGGCCGUCGAAUUUCUUCGAGCAGUCGGGAUAGAAGUUCACUGUGCGUUUCGCUCUUCGCCUUUAGCGACGAAUCUUUCGCGACGAAUAUCAGCUUUUCUGGUUGGCGAGAAAAUUUGUUCGUAAAGCAGAAUAUUGAGAUUUCGAUGAAGACCAAGAGGGAGAUGCGUCGUAAUCUACCAAUUGAUAAUCAAACUACGACCAUAGUCGGUUACGUGGCAAGAGGAUUAUUGAACUUUUACUAAAUGACGAAACAACGACAACCAUUUUGUCAACGAGCGGGAAAAAUUCACCGACAAACGUAAUAUUUGAAAAGAUUACUCGAUUCUAUGAAAAUUUUAUAAAAAUACACUGGCUUGAAAUUUUUCUCAAGUUUCGCUAGGAACGUUCCGAGCGACCCUAUAAUUUGAAGACACAAUUAUUGUUAUUGCGUUGGAACCAGGGUCCCAUGAGUAUCCCAAGCUAUACGAGUAUAUCUCAAAGAAUAGAGCUCUGCUGCCGAGCUUGCAAUUACCAGAGGGUGACAAGCAGGAUAAAUUGCACCAUCGCCUUCUAAUCGGUUCACUCGACUAAGAGAAAAAAAGAAGAAAAAUUCCUAUUACGAAGAGACGGAUUUUGCGUGGGUAAACAAAACAUCGUCUAAAAUUAAGAGAAGGAAAAGAGUACUAGAAGAGGGUUAAACGUGACGUUAUACACGCUUACAGCGUGACUCACUGCCUCCGUGAGAUAGCACGAUGAUGCUCAGGAAAACGCGACACAAUCUUUGGAACGAAGCUCUACACGUUCAACGGGACACUCGGAACUCGUCGCAACCUAAAAGUACAGUUCGAGAAAACGAUCUAACGAGGCCGUAAAUUAAAAUAUUAAGUGGUAACGCUGAUUUAUAUAGCCACUUACAUAGACGUCUUGUAGAAACGUCUUCUUGAAUCUCGAGAUGCAAAUGUCAUUUGUAAAUUAACAUUUCUCGAUAACACGAUUUCUUUUUACUAAGAUAUGUUACGUUCUCCUUUUUAUCCCUAUUUGUUAUUCUUCAUAACGAUUAAUAGUUGACACCGUACAAUCCUGAACUCGUCUCGUCUUCCCCGACAAUGGAAAAAAAUUGAUCAAACAACUAUCAUACAAUUUGUAAUAAUUGAAACU